CAUUUCAAAUACUAAAUGAUUUCAAUAAAAUUGUAUAACCCAUCAAUAUCUAUAACUUUUAUUUUGGUUGUUUCUUCAUCCAACAAAGUGAUGGUAACAUUGUUCACAAAAAUUUGUUAUUUAAAUUUUGUGAACAAUGUUACCAUCACUUUGUUGGAUGAAGAAACAACCAAAAUAAAAGUUAUAGAUAUUGAUGGGUUAUACAACUUUGUUGUUGAUGACUUUUUCAGUUGAAAUC
rnacentral:pre_miRNA from 1 species